CUACGGGCGGCACCAGUGGGGAAUAUUGCACAAUGGGGGAAACCCUGAUGCAGCAACGCCGCGUGGAGGAUGACGCAUUUCGGUGUGUAAACUCCUUUUAUAUAGGAAGAUAAUGACGGUACUAUAUGAAUAAGCACCGGCUAACUCCGUGCCAGCAGCCGCGGUAAUACGGAGGGUGCAAGCGUUACUCGGAAUCACUGGGCGUAAAGCGCGCGCAGGCGGCCCCUUAAGUUGGAUGUGAAAGCCUACGGCUUAACCGUAGAACUGCAUCCAAAACUGAGGGGCUAGAGUCUGGGAGGGGAAGAUGGAAUUAGUUGUGUAGGGGUAAAAUCCGUAGAGAUAACUAGGAAUACCAAAAGCGAAGGCGAUCUUCUGGAACAGUACUGACGCUGAGGCGCGAAAGCGUGGGGAGCAAACAGGAUUAGAUACCCGUGUAGUC
rnacentral:rRNA from 1 species